AUGUAUAUAAUAUAGCUCACCAGUUACCAAAACUACACUCAAUAUUUGGUUCUAAGGAGUGGAUUGCAUAAUUGCCUAUGCUAUACCUAUAUGUUGUAAUGGAUGUAUAAUAAGGUUAUAGGGUUGCUUGAUAUUUGAGUAAUAUGGACUCUAUUUGUGUAAAGCCUAAAAGUAUGAUGUGUCCAUGCAGUGUAAAAAAAAUGAUAAACUCAAAAGUAGCAGUAAUUAAAUAUUUAUCUUAAAGAAUUUUAGAUUCAUAUUUUUAUACGGAUCAAAACAAUAGACAUUUAACUAACGAUAUAUUCAUAAACAUUGAUAAUAUUAAACUUCAGUCAACUCCAUCUCCAUUCAUAAGACAUUUAUAACUAUUUCACACACUUUAAAAAAACAAUAGUAAAAGAUAAUUGUAGUUGGGUCUAAUUGAAAACUCUUCAUUUCAAUGUUUCUUUUACGUAUAUGUAAAAUUUAAGAAUUGAAUCUAAAAUUUGGUAGUUUUUUAAUUUAUGAAAAGGACCAGUAUUAAAAAUUGAUAUAAAGACGUAUUUAUUUGUAUAUAUAAAUUUAUAAAAUAAUCAUGAAUUAGAAUACAAUGAUAUUAAAUUUCAUUAUUGAUAUAUUUCGUGUGAAGUUGUAUUCUCUGUCAUCAAUGAUAUAUCACUUUCUUCAUCUUCAUCUUGAUCUUGAUCUUGAUUGAGUUGCAGUGAUUAUUGUAAUUAUUGAUCAGAAACCCACACACCUUUCUUCAUAAUAACUAUAAUCUUCUACACACUCUGCUUCCAAGGUAACACCUCUCUUCACCUUUCUCUUCACCUUUCUCUUCACCUUUCUCUUCACAAAUCUUACCAUCAUUCUGUUCUCAUUAAUUAUUCUUAAGUGGGGUUCUUCACCCUUCAUUAAAUUUCUUAUCUUUUAUCCCUUUAUUGUAGAUCCACGAUCUUAACAUGCAUAUAUGAAUAUCUGAAUUACCUUCAAGUCUGAAUCUCAGCGUUUGUAAAUUUCGAAUCUUUUGUUGUAGAUCAGUGGGUUGGUGAAGGAAAGAAUUAACUAAUUACUUUUUCUCCGAUUAUUUCUUUUUUAUCAGCACGAGUGAGUGGGAAUUUUGGUAGCUAUUAGGAGUUAUUAUUGGGAAUUUUCAAGUCUGAAGGCUUUGCAUAAACAUGUAGAAACAAUUACAAGCUUUCAAACUAAUCAUUCCUCCUCAGUGUUUCCAUCCUCUUUCUUUCUAUUCUUCUCUCCUCAUCUUGUACUAUUUUUUCCUUCAGAAAACUUUCAUUCAAAUCAAAAAAUAAUUUAUUUUCAUGAUUUCAUCAUUCAUGUGCUUCAAGGAGAAAGGAAGACAACAAUACAUAAUUUACAGUCUUUAUAUUGUGAGUUAUUUUAAUAUGAUGCAUUAUGUAAUUUCAAAUACGUUCUAAUCCUGGAUAAUCAUAGAAUUUGUUCUUUGGUGUCAAGUACUUUUUAAUAUCAGAAUCUUCUGGAUAUUUAACUUCAAUUGUUGUGCCAGAUUUUGCUCCCAGUGGUGCCUCCAAAUUUGACAGAUCCUGCCAUUUGGGAUUGAGAUCAACUGAAUUUGGAAAUGGUUAAAAGGUUUAUUUUCCCUCUACCGACAUAUGAUCACUUUAUGGAGAAUGAACAAAAUGGAAUAUCUAAUUGAAUUGUUUUUUGGAACAGUUAUGGAAUGUUCUGAUUUGCCAAAGAUACUAUCAUGUUGCAGUGCAUAGAGGGAAUUUUGCAUAUAUUUGCACCCAUAUUGCGAUGUUGUGACCUUGAUUUAAAUAAGCAGCCAACAGGCCUCAAAGAUCCUGAACUUCUUGCAAGGGAAACAGUGUGUAUGUGUCAACCUUACUUUAUGAUUAUGAAAUAGAUGCACAUUAUUUGAGCUUAUGACAACUGUUUGUUUUGCAACCAUAUGCAGUCAGUGUAAGUGAAAUAGAAGCACUUUAUGAGCUCUUUAAAAAGAUCAGCAGUGCUGUCAUUGAUGAUGGGCUGAUUAACAAGGAAGAGUUUCAACUGGCAUUAUUCAAGACAAAUAAAAAAGAGAGCUUGUUUGCCGAUCGGGUAUUCCUUUCUUGUUAUCUGUUUUAAUGUCACUUUUUCUUUUAUUAGAUCAGGUUAAAACUUAAGACCCACUCAAAUACAACAACAACAACAACAACAACCAAUCCUUAUCUCACAAUUGUUUGUCAUAUACAACGGAAAAUAUUGUGCCUGUUUAAUUCUAAAUGGCUGAAAUUUGGUUCUCCUCUUUCUUUUCUAAUACCCACAAAGGUAUUAAAUGUAUGCCAUAUUACUGCAAGGUGAAACCAAAAUAAGGUCAGUAUACUGUUAAAUUACAAUGACCUGUGCUUCAGUGAAACUUAAUAUUAUAAUGAAUUAAAUUCUAAUAUACCACUGUUAGAGGUUUUCUCACAUGUUACCUUAUUAUUUUACACAUUUUCAAGAAAAAUCACUUUCAAGACCAAUUUGUAUGUUAUUUACUGAUACUUGCUUCAUGUACAUACAUUGGUUCAUAUCAUUCAAGUGUUUAGUAUUUCAUAUAAGCUUCUUCCUCUAUGCACUCUCUCAGGUAUUUGAUUUGUUUGACACAAAGCACAAUGGGAUACUCGGUUUUGAAGAGUUUGCUCGUGCUCUCUCCGUCUUCCAUCCAAAUGCCCCUAUUGAUGAUAAGAUUGAAUGUAUGUCAUUUUAUAUUUUUUUAUUUUUUGUUAAUCAUUAUCUUGGAACGAAAUUUCUGUGAAAUGUAAUAUCUCUGGUAUUCUAUUGCUUAGAAACAGAGAAAAUCUCUCAUAUUACAAGUGAUGUUGCAGAACUUCGAGGGUCUACACCUCCCAUUCCCAAUACCUUAAGGCCCCAAUUCUCACUACACAAAUGACAAUAUGUCCUCAUCUUCUAACUCCUCUCUUACUUAUACGCAACAGGCCUUAUUUCUCUAGCUAUCCCAGCCCCAAACUAACUAACUCCAUAAAGUUUCCUAACUGCGUUCUAUCUAAAUGACUAGCAGUUACCAAAAUGGACCAAGGUCACACCAUGACACUAACCCUUUCGAUUCUAGCAUAUGGAUGAUGCUGGAGUUCAUUGCUUUGGUGGUGCAGAUAAUUAUUACAACAUCUACUUUGGCCAUGUCAAAGAGGGAGAGACCUGUUUGGCCUAUGAGGAUAUGGGCAACUAGUUAUGAUAUUGGUUGUGUUCUUAAUCUGCUGUUACUUUAUGGGCGCUACCAUCAAAUAUAUUUGACUCCAGGAGAUACUCUUAACCUUUCUGAUCUGGAACAUCAGAGAAACAAUGAAGAAACCAGGUAUGUUAUCAACUUCUUCUAUCUUCAUCAAGUUUCUGUCAGUUUUAUUAUUAGUGAUUAAUAGUUAAUCCGGUGCUAAUGACACAUGCUGAAAAUUUGGCUAGAGAAGAUUGACAAACCAAUUGGAUUACUAAAUGUAGAAAAAUACUAAGUAUCAACUAUCAAGUAACCAUAAAGUCAUGUUAAUUGUCCCUUGAAUAAGAGCUUGGAAGAAUCAAAUACUCUCACAUGCCUUUUUCUUUUGAAUUAAUUCAUGGUUUUUAGUGUUUAAACGGAGAAGAAUCUGUUGUAUCUAAUUGUGUAUAAAACAUGUGAAAGAUGAAAAGCCUAAGAUGAAAAUGAUACCAACUUUUUUAUAUUAAAAGUUGCUUCAAGUUGACUGAAUCCACAUCCAAUGAAAGAAAAAUUUAGUUUCUAAACAGUAUGAAAUUGUUAAACAUAGAAAGUACCAAGUAACCAUAAAGUUAUGCUAAUUUGUCCCUUGAAAAAGAGUAAAAUACCCGCACUUACCUUUCUCUAAAUCAGUUUAUGUUAUUUACUGUUUAAACUAAGUAGAAUCUUUUGUUUAUUGCAACCUUUCCAUUUCUAACCAUGCAGUUUUAUUUUUUCUUCUUUCUAUGGUUAAAUUUGAACAUGUAAUAUAUUUUGCACUAUACAGGUUUCCACAUUUAAUGAAUAAGUGCAAGACUUCACUUGAGCUUUUCUUUGCCAUAUGGUUUGUGAUGGGCAAUGUUUGGAUUUUUGAGUCAUCACGUUUUGGAUAUUACAAUGAAGCUCCAAAGCUUCAUGUGCUCUGCAUCACCUUACUUGGUUGGAAUGCUAUCUGCUAUUCUUUCCCUUUCCUACUGUUUGUGCUGUUAUGUUGUUGUGUGCCACUUAUUAAUUGCAUCCUCGGAUACAACAUGGUCUCUUCUGAUAAAGGAGCAACUGAUGAUCAAAUUUCACAACUUCCAAGUUGGACACAUAAACAUGUCCAUACCAACUUAGAGCUUGUUGGCAAUGAUUCUGAAGGCUGUGAAAAUUUGAUUAAUGAAGAUCCUGUAAGUGACACCAUUCUUUGUAUAAAGAGUUAGUAAUGCUACUACUCGUAAAACCAAAAAACACACAAAUUUGCUACUGUAUUUAUUUACUUAUGGUGUGAAUUAAUAAGUUUGUUCUGAUUUGGGUGCUUCCAGGAAUGCUGCAUUUGCUUAGCCAAGUAUAAAGAGAAAGAAGAAGUUAGAGAAUUGCCCUGUUCUCAUAUAUUCCAUAAAAAAUGUGUGGAUCAAUGGCUAAAAAUAAUAUCCUGCUGCCCUCUUUGCAAACAAGGAUUAGAGAGGACAAAAUAGUUUGAGAUAUACAUUGUUGAUGUUACCCAUAGUAGUUUAUAUUUCUCUUUUUUCCACAUUGGUCAUAUGGUUACUAGAGUGAGUUUGUACAUGUAUAUAAUAUAGCUCACCAGUUACCAAAACUACACUCAAUAUUUGGUUCUAAGGAGUGGAUUGCAUAAUUGCCUAUGCUAUACCUAUAUGUUGUAAUGGAUGUAUAAUAAGGUUAUAGGGUUGCUUGAUAUUUGAGUAAUAUGGACUCUAUUUGUGUAAAGCCUAAAAGUAUGAUGUGUCCAUGCAGUGUAAAAAAAAUGAUAAACUCAAAAGUAGCAGUAAUUAAAUAUUUAUCUUAAAGAAUUUUAGAUUCAUAUUUUUAUACGGAUCAAAACAAUAGACA
rnacentral:lncRNA from 1 species